CACCACUCAAGCCUCGCUUGGUAUUGGGUGCCGCGGUGACCCUGUCCCGCGCGCCUCAAAGACUUCGGCCGAGCUUUUCAGACUCUCAGCGUUGUGGAAACUUUUCGCUAAGCAGAUUUGAAGGCCCGUCGCCGUUAAACACCUUAUAUUACA
rnacentral:misc_RNA from 1 species